GCCGGGCAUGGUGGCACAUGCCUGUACUCCUAGCGGCUCGGGAGGCUGAGACAGGAGUAUCAUGAGUUGAAAGCCAGCCUCAGCAACAGCGAGGCAAGGCGCUAAGCAACUCAGUGAGACCCUGUCUGUA
rnacentral:sRNA from 1 species